rnacentral:tRNA from 1 species
GGGAGUUUAGCUCAGCUGGGAGAGCAUCUGCCUUACAAGCAGGGGGUCAUAGGUUCGAGCCCUAUAAUUCCCACCA